rnacentral:rRNA from 1 species
UACGUAGGGUGCGAGCGUUAAUCGGAAUUACUGGGCGUAAAGCGUGCGCAGGCGGUUCUGUAAGUCAGCUGUGAAAGCCCCGGGCUUAACCUGGGAAUUGCGGUUGAAACUACAGGGCUAGAAUCUGGCAGAGGGGGGUGGAAUUCCACGUGUAGCAGUGAAAUGCGUAGAGAUGUGGAGGAACACCGAUGGCGAAGGCAGCCCCCUGGGCUGAGAUUGACGCUCAGGCACGAAAGCGUGGGGAGCAAACAGG